CACAAACAACUGUUGCCACAACUAGGACAGGUUAAUUGCAAUUUGCCUAAUUGGUAGUGAAGAAAAUAAGACCUGUUUAAAUCAUGUGUCUAUAUUCUGGCUCAUGUAAAACCACCUAUACACAGUUUUACAUAGCUGAACAUUUGAUCAUAACUACUGUGAACAAAAUGAGAAUAUAUGAUUUUUUUUCUUUUUCUUUUUAUUCUUAUGAAACUAAACUGCAUAUGAAAGUAAGUGGAUCAGAAUGACUUUAUUGCUCAUUUAGUAGGAUAUGGGUUUUUCCUAACAUGGUUGUACAUCAAACAUUUUCCUUUCAACAACUUCAUAUUACAAGAAAGCUGCCCACUCACUUCCUCACUGACAGACAGAUGUCUCAGCUGGGACACCUUAAGAAAAAAGGUAACAACUCAAAUAAUACCACACAUUAUGAUUCAAUUCACAAUAAUGAAUUGCAUAACAAGUGUGUAAAAUGUUGCUGUCCUCUCUUAUCGCUUAAUCGACAUCUCACAUCACACUGAGCGACAAAUGUGUCUGUGGGUGAUAUUAAUCACCUAGCCCACAUACUUCCUGUGUUUUCUCACUCCAGCAAAAACAAACUGAAGAGCUUCAGCCACCAUCACACUGUCAAACGGACAAGGAUACGUUAACAUGCCUGACAGGUUCACUCUGCUCAUUCUCAGCUUUUCUUUCAUACUUCACAAUGUUUGUAGUUGGAGCGUGAGUGAACCUCUCAACCACACAUUGAAUGAUGAUGGCUCAGCCAGUGUCACAUGCAUGCUCUAUGGAGAAGAAAGGUUUGAGUUGGAAGCUAAGUUGAAAAUGAAUGAUAUGGUUGUUUGUGAGGUUGAUGAAGGAGGACAAGAAAAUAACCAGUGUGAAUGGAAGUUUAAGGACAAUAAAUUCACGUUCACCUUAAAGAAACCUGAGAACCUCCACAGUAAUACAUUUUCCUGUGAGAUAUCCAAAAUAAAACCAUAUCCAGUCAAAACUGAACAAGGACCGAAAAUUAAGCUUUUCCGAGGUUGCAAUAACCCUUUUGCUCCAACGGAGACCAGCUGUCCAAUCACUAACCAAACAGUUGACCAGGAUCACACACCUGUAGAAAGGCCCGAACUUGAAGACAGAUAUACCCUACUAAUCUGUGGUCUGGUCAUAGUGGUGGGAAUGCUGUCUCUCUACAGCAUUAUUCUUACUGCAGUCUACAUCAGAUUGAGGGUCACAAAUCUCGAAUCUUCUGACACUCUGAUCUACAUGCCAAUGCAGAAGAAUGUAAAACGGCGUGAUCUAGAAAACACUGAAUAUGUGGACAUGCGUGAAGUGCAGAAACGGGAAGGAUCCCGCAGAGAUAUGAACCACAACUCUCAUCUUGCUACUGUCAGAGCCAAUUUCUAAUGGCAUCAGUGAGCUCAUGCUUUAACUGUUCUAGGACGUACUGCUUGUUAUACUUAAGCUACACUAAAGAAAUUCACAGGAUAAAACUAAUGCCUUUCUACCAAACAAAACAGAUUUUUAUGAAUGCCUGAAUCUGCAUAUUGCUCCUGCACCUUGUUCAAAUGCUCAAAUAACAGUCUUGAUGUUCUGUUGCAGCUGGUUUCAUUUGGUGGCUUGUACAACCUAAUGCUGAACUGUAGCUAUGCCAAGCUAAAUGUAUAUAAAAUCUCUAGUUUGGGCAUUUUUUUUAAUUAUUAUUUUGAUCCCAUGGACCAAUAAUCUAUGAUAAUAUCAGUUUUGUUCACUGACCCCCUCCCCCCCAAUAAACUUUUUUCUAACCAUAAACA
ensembl:lncRNA